GCCACGAGACUGACAUCACUAACUACGUAAAAUGAUGCCCAAGCCCCCCCUUUCCACCGAGUAAGCCUCGUGCUAAAGAGCAAUGGCGACGACAUCCCAUGAUGGGAGGGUGCCUCACUAGUCACUUAAAUCUCUGAGCCAAUUAAUAAUAUUAAUGGGUGGACACUGACAUAGCCACUUAACAUUUAACCCAAUUAAUGAUGUUUAUUUGUUAUUAUCUGAUAUUCAAUGAUGAUGUCAUUUUGCAUAUAAAAAGGCCUGCGUGCCCACUUUUUAACUAG
rnacentral:lncRNA from 1 species